UACUUUUUUUUUUUUUUUUUUGGUUUUCUGUUUGGGUUGAGUGAUGACUAUACUUAUUUGUUAUUAUUUGUAUCUUUCUCAUAGACGAGGAUUUUAUGGAAUCUUCCUCACUUCUUAAUUCUUUUACUUGAAAUGUCCAAAUCACCCUUAAGAUUUGGCUACAAAAGAGACAAAACAGAGAGAUGAAAAAAUACUUUAAAGUAAUACUCCCCACAAUGCAUGUAAUCUUCUUGAUCUCACGCUUUCUUUGUAUGGCAAAAAACAGAGGGUGAUUGCUUCUCCUCUUUUUGACUGUCAGAGAAAACUAAUCAACGACUAUUAUACGUGGUUUCAAUUGUUAUAGUGUAAUAUUUUUUAUUUUAUAACUCCAUUAAAUCUAUUGAUUUUUCGUGUCAAAUAUAUCCGUGACGUGUUUUGUGUAUUUUCUGUCACGAGCGCAGCAGCAGCAGCUUUUUUUGUCAAACAAAUCAUGCUGAACGACUUUCAACUGAUUUAUUGAUAAAACUGGCUUCUGUUUUAUUUAUAUAUAUAUAUAUAUAUAUAUAUAUAUAUAAAUAAAAGAUUAGCAUUUUGGCUACUUUUUGAUUAGAUGCUUUUAAUUGAUUACAGUGUUUUAGAAAUUUCAUGAUUUGAUAAGCUUUAAAAGAAUACUAGUGUAUUUGAGCAGUUAAGUACUAGCUGCUAGUAUUAGGUUUUUGUCACUGUACUACACUACUUGCUGACCAAACGAAAAAGGAAAAUUGAUGUGGCACUGCAACCGUGAUUGAGUUAGAUUUGCUUCUUGGACUAAUAAUAGGCUCUCAGAACAGAAUAAAUAUUUGGCCACCCAAAAAAACAAAAGAAAAAGGAAAAGGACAUGAAUCAAUAGGAGGUCAUCGUAUUCUUCUUCUUCUACAAAAUGGAUCCACUGCUAGUGACAGUAGUGGAUACUGCUACUAACUCUUCAGCUACCACGUAUGGUAGUACUACCAAAAUAUAAGCUCAAUGAGGAGCUGGUCAUCUAAUGCUCAGCUGGUUCCCUUGCGUCUUCUCAAUUCUCUUUUCUACUAACUUCCUGCCAUAGCUAUCAUUAAUUUUAUUUUUUCCCCCAAUAAAUAUGUAUUAGAUUUCACCAAAUAUUUAUGACCAAAUUCCAAGAAACCACCUUCCACUUGACCAUCUAGCUGAUUGAGGUGAUUAGGCAUCUCGAAUACAACGAAUUUUAAUUGCGUUAUUUGGUGACUUCAUGAUUAUGUAUGGUAUGGUAUGCCCAUUCUCUACCAACUAAACAUUUAUGGCUAAUUCUUUGGAUGCAACUUGAUCAGAUUCCUUCUUGAUUGUUUUAGAUUUCCCUUUUGAUUUGCAUCACAUAUUAACUGAAUAAGUUCAAGAAUUAUGAUUGUAAUUAUAACGAGUUUAUACCUUCUUGAAAAACUAGACAUGAACAUAUGUGUAGGCAUAUAUAUCUAGUACUAGGUGUGCAAGCUUUAAUACAUCUUAAAUGUGUAUCAUGAAAUAAAACCAGCUAAACCACAUGCAAAUUUAGUAACUACAUUCUACACCAUUAGAUUAGAAGUUGUAUAAUGAAUGCUGCUGAUCUUCUUUUUAGGCACUAAUCUUUUUUAUAGCAAUCGAUUAAUCUCUAUGAACAUCAGCAUAUGGAUUUGUAGGCAUAGAAUAGAAGAAGAGAAGACGAAUGAAAUCAAAGUUAUAAAGGGAUGGCAUCCGAUGUUUAACAUGAAGACCAAUGAUUUGAAGCUUGACCGUUCAAACUCAGAAUCAUAUAAACACAACUGUGGCCCCAGAUACCAGCUAUGGUAGAUGAUAUCUAAAACUUACAUCCACCACCACACCCACCCGGCACUUCGAGCUCUCAAGUUAUCCAACCAUAUUCACUCGGUAGCCCUACUUUACACUAGGGUUUUUUUAGAAAAAGAAAAAAAAAAAAAGGCCACUGCCUUUUUUUUUUUUGGUAAUAAAAGGGACUCUAUAUUUAAAAAAAAAACUUAAGUUAUAGGUACAAAACGAGAGAAGCAAAUUCCCUUAAGAUCUGCAUCUACUAGAUUUUUCAAAGCAUGAGGGAUACUAUCAUAGCAUACAAAAUUCACGUCUUGCUGAGCACUCAAUUUCGCCAAUUUGUUAGCACACUGAUUUGCUUCUCGGUAAGCAUGUCUGAGUGUCACUUUCGGUAGAGCAGAGAUCAGGAACCUGCAAUCAGAGAUAAUUGAAGCAUACUCAUGAAUCGAGGUAUCUGCAGAUUCAAGCAACUGUAGAGCAGUUUUAGCAUCAACUUCUAAUUCAACAUUAUGCAAGUUUAGAGAGGAAGCCAAGGAUAGUCCAUCCCUUAUCCCACACAACUCAGCAAGGAUAGUACAGCCCACUGCCUUUGAAGGCUCUACUCUUUUUCUUUUUCUUUUUUUUUCGACACUCUAUAUUUGUCUAUCUUACAUCUACUUUGACUUUUAUUAAUAUUCAAUUCUGUUCUAGAGGAGGAUCCAAUUGAACUUAUAGAGAAACCGACGGAAACUGAAUCACUAUCGGAUCAGACGAGUGCAUUACACACCCUUCUAGAUUUGGAGAGCCACGCCAGACGGACCUAAGAUGACUCUACUCUACACAUAAAAAAGUUAAAGGGAAUACAAUAAUACUUUUCAUUGAUGUGAUUUACGACCGUGUUUGAUCCAUCAAGAAAAGCCAUCAAUGGUUGCCCUGAAACCAGGGAGAGAGAGACAGACACCAUUUACUCGACUUUAUUCGUAUUACUUAUGAUAAUAAUAUUACUUCGAGUAGUAUUUCAUCACUACUGCUUCUUACCUUUUUCCCUUUUACAUAUAUACAUUUUUUUCUUCUUCUCACUUUUUCAACUUUUGAAAGAGAUUAUGAUAGGGAAUGCGCAAUUAUAUGGUAGCAUUUAGGCUAUUAUAUGUCAUGCGCGGACCGAAUUCGACUCUUCAUCCUUUUUCCUUUGCUUUGGGUUAAUUUUCCACGAGCCACCUGUCUUUGGCGUACAUACGUUAAUUAUAGGCUGAUUAAGAUUACAAUUAAUUAAUACGCCAUUUGUAGUCAGGACGGGGUUGCAUCAACAUCAUCCAGCUCAUACAUAAUACAAAUGGUGGUGGCCUAAACGUAACAAGACAUCAAAAAUUGAGACUAAAGAAAUCAAAUUUGCUCAGCUGAAUUCUGGAAUCAAAUUAGUUUGACGUAUUUAUUUGCUUUGGAUGCUCGGAAUCGAUUGACGAUCGUGUAUGAAGGGAAUAGAUUCCGGCGAUCAAAAUCUUGUUUUUUCCCGGGGACAAAAUUAUCAUAUUGUGGUAGGUGUUUUGUGACAAUGAUAGUCAAAUAUCGAAAUUUGACUAGUGCUCUAAUCAUAUUAGGUUGAACGCAAACGCCACUAUAUGUCACAUAGACGUACACCCAUGCAUGUGGAGCAGUGUCUUGCAGCUUUAUUUAAGCACAAUUAGUUUGGAUUUAGAGGCUGUGGGAUAAUACUCUAUUGUUUGUAUAAUUAAUAAAGAAUUAAGGGACCCUGUCGAGUGAUACAAUUGAAAACGAAGACAUAUUAGUUGAGAAAUAAUUCAGACUAAUUAAGCAAAAGCUAAGCAGAUGGGACAAGACAUCCACUAACGAACGAAUUUUGCUCAAGAAAGCAAACUCUGUGGUUGUUGCAAGGAACUCAUAGUGAGUGCUCUUAAUUACCACGUUAAGAGGUCGAGGGUUAUUGAGACUAACUAGUAGUACUACUAAUUCUUCUAUAUAGAUAUAUAUAUAUAUAUAUAUAUAUAUAUAUAUAUAUAUCACCGUGAAUGGUGGUAACCAUUUUUUUUUUUGAAAAAAUUUUUUUUUAAGGAAACUUCAAGUUAAUUACACAAGUAAAACAGGAGAAAAUUAAAAGGGUUUGAGGGAUUAAAUCAAGAACCUUCUAGCUAGCGUCUCUAAUUAUUUUUUUUAAGAUAGGACAUUAAUUAAAUACAACAAAAGCUUUUCAUAUCCAUAGAGAUCUGAAUCGGUGCAAGUUUUCUUCUUACAAACGUGGAGAACUAGUGAUGUUACGUUCUGUUUGAGAAAGAAAGAAAAAAGAAGCUCAGCUGUCCAUAUUGAUGUUUGAUGAGGCCAAGGGGGUUGGCCAGUGGCCACUAAUAAAAUAAGAAGAUGACCAUGAUUUAAUCACCUGAAACAAAUCUUGUGCACAGAAAAGAGGGAUCCUGCGGCAGGCAGGCAGGCAAACCAAUUGUUUAUCAAGUCUCAUACAAACUGAGGUUAAUAAAAAUGCAUAGAUUCAUGCCCUAUUGUUUGGAGUGGAGGGAACAAUAAACACGCCCCAAUCAAGUUCACACCCUUUCUAAUUUCUUCCGCAUCCCAUUGGGUCUACCCUUUUGGUGGCACUUAACACACAGACCACCUGCAUAUUUAGAUGAGAUGUAAAGCGAAGGAUUCCUCCUCCAGGCACGUCUUAGCAACCAUCUUCUUCUUUAAUUACCAACUUAGCUGGUCUGCUUAAUCAUAUAUAUAUAUAUAUAUAUAUAUAUAUAUAUAUAUAUAUGUUCCUUUUUUGUGAAUGUGCGUUUUGUUUUUAAUACCGAAUACGCGUCAGGAAAAGAAGUGAAAAAUGGAAAUGGUCAUAAAUUGGACCACCUUCAAAUGGCAGUCUUCGGACAUAUUUAUCUGAAAGGCACAGAAAAAAACACAUGAUUGGAGAGGGAGGAAGAACAAAUACUAUAAAUGAUAACGUCUAGACAAAGAACUUACCAUUUUUCGAAAAAGGGAAAUGUGGAUAGCAAGCUGGAAUUGGUCCAUAUUUACGAAACACGAUGUCCUGCAAAUAUGUAUGUAUAUAUCUACAUUCACAAUUGAGGUUGAUAUUCAUCUGCACUUUUAAAAGCAUAAACAUGACACAAUAUUAUGUGUUGGAAGAUAUGAUAAAACAAAUGUAGCACACAUGCGGGCAUCAACGUUCAAUCUUUAUGUCAUGAUCAAAAUCAAAUUGGCAUUUCAUGCUCAGAAUACGAUCCAAGUUGUGGCAAAUCAUAGUUUGGGACCUAGGGUGUCUUCAUGAUUAAUCAACUCCUGCAAGUUAUGUGCUCUGGAUUGAGACUUGAGAGCUUUAGUAAUAUUAUUAAUAUUGCCAUAUGUGUGUGGCCGAUAUUUUGCUGACCUUGAGUUGCUUUCUCAAAUUUUGCGGUGAAUGUAAGAUGAAAGUAUCAGAUUCUCAUUUUUGGGGAGCACUGGGAAAAGAGAAAAUCCCUUUGUCGACAAAAACCAGAAUCUAUAUAGCCCACAUUCUAUUCUUUCCAAUCGACACAAAACAUGAGUUGUAGAUAUAAUUCGUCCGAAGUUUUGGUUCAACUACCAGAAACAGAUUAACCAACAAAAAAGAAAAAGAAAAAUGUAUUUUUCAGGCAUGACCCAAUGUUUAUCUUCGUGAUAUUUUACACACUCACAAUGCAUAAAAUGUAAAAUCUUCAAUGUAAUCCUUUUGAUUAAUGUUAGACAAAGGAAACAUUCAUAAAGAACCAAAAAAAAAAACAAAAAUGCUCAGAGGAAAGGAAUCGAUCAGGGGCUGUGUCUAUUCUUCUUGCAUGCGUAUCCUAAAGGGAGCUUUUGAGAGGUUUAUAUUUUUCUUUUCGUUUGAAGAAAAGGAAAGGGGUUGCAAUUUUUGUUAAUUUUUCAUAUAUGUAGUAUUAGUUGUUUUUCAAAUUUAUCUGAUAUAAUUUCUGUCAUUAGUGUAGAUUUCAUUAUGUAUUAGUGAUUAUAUAUAUAUAUAUAUAUAUAUAUAUAUAUAUAUAUAAAGGAAUGGGGGUUUUGUGUUGCUUGUUAGUGCCAUAUUGGCAUAUGGAAGGGGCAAUCAAAGAAAAGUGUGUAAGUUUGGUGGGGAGGGUGGGACAUGAGACCAUGGAGCCAUUUGGUUGUGGAUUCUCCAACAAAAAACUCCACGCUUCGAAAGCUAAACAAUACCCUCUCCACUCCAUCAGGCCGCACUAAAAAGGAUUACUACUACUCCUCCUCCUUGUGCCCUCCUUUAAAAAAAUUAUACCCUCAACCAACACAAAAGCAGCGCAAAAGCAGGAAUCCAUGCUCUCACCUCCCCAGUAUUAUAUUUGUUGCAUACCACCCACUUUCUUAGACUUUUUUCCCACCCCUUACACUUUUUUCCCAAUUGUUUAAUUGUUAUCCCUAUUCACACAAUUAAAGAAAAAAGUUCCACCAGAAAGUGUCAACCCUCAUGAGCCCACUUCUUCCUUUGCUUGAGGAAGGACGACGCAUUGGGAAAAUUAAUGCGCUGCGCAGCUAAAUUAAUUGAUUUUCUUUUUCUGAUCAUCCUCCUCUUGCUAAGCUAAGCUAAGCUAAGCUAGGGCUGGCAGCUGAUGCCCUUUAAGAUAUGGAGAACAGGGUUGUGUUAGGUUUGAAAUUCCAUCAUCAAACACGUGUGGUGGACAUGGUUAUGACGCCACGGCGGGAUUUAAGUAUCCCGGUUGAGAGUUUUGAGGCCCCCUGUGCUGAUGUGCAUGAAAGGGAUAUAAAUCCCUUUUCUUUGCAUUUUCGUAUGAAUAUUUGAGGCCUAAGUUUCUGCUUAUUAAUUAUUAUACAAUAUUAAUAAACAUAAUUAGAUGUUGAAAUCCAUCAGUAGUAGACUAGCGUCAUGCACGUUAUAAUUUUUCUUUUUUUUGUUAUGUUUCAGAGGGUAAUUAAUUAGAGGUAGCCGAUCAUCCUUGGCUAUGCAUCUUCUUCUUGUCUUUCUUUCUUUUUCCCUCUCUUUUUUUUCCCCCAAUUCCUAAGAAAAUAUCAUCAUUUUGGAACAGGUUGUUGCACGUUUCCGUCCCUUGAACAUCAAGCAAUCAAAUUCAGGAUCCAUCUGCUUAUCAUGGUUUCUUAGACUAGAUGUGAUACGUGAAGAUAUAACCUUGCAUCCUUCUCUUUCCACAACGACGGACAAAAGUGUCGCAUGCAAUAGAGUUAGAAGAAAAAGAAGCAAGCUCCAUUUGAAGUUUUGCGAGCAAAGCUUCUAGAAAUCAUCAAGGAAAAAGAGUAGCAGUACGUAGUUAUUUUCUUUCUCAGUUGUCAACCCAAGAUAGUUGGAUUCAACAAACUUGGUGGGAACUGGAAUGCGUGAUGCCACUACACUCCCACUCCUAGUCAAUGUAUUGGUUUUCUACCUCAUUAAUGGAAUAUAACUCGCAUAGAUUAAGAUGAGGGUUAUGACUUUUGUGCUAGCACGAUAAUUUGUAAUCUUUUUCUUGCUGUGAAAAUAAAACAGAAGCUUCGAAAUUUCAUUCUACAAUGUCAAGAUAUAGUUACAAGACCAAGCAAGCUCAUCGCUUGUGUUCUCUCUCUCCCUCUAUCCUUUUUUUUUUCCAUUUUUUUUUAUCUUAAUCGCUUCAUUUGUGUGAUUUUGUAACCAUUUUUCACUUGAAUUAAUAAAUGGUAGACAUAUACAAACUAGUCUACAACCAUCUAAAAGUGUCUCUCUUCUUCCCUCCUUUAUGUGUUGAAUGAGUGUGCGCUUCUUGUGGAGGCAAAAUGAUCGAGGUCUUAGUUUUAAUGUUUUAUCUUCGAGUCUUGUUAACGACAUGAGCUUUUAGCUGGAUCAGCAAAUAUUCUCUUCAUCGGAAGCAACAUACUGCUUAUCAAUGUAGAAAAGAGUGCGAUUUCUCAUGGGUUAUUCCUCUUCUCUGCAUGUUCGAUCGGGGAGUUGAAGCAUAUGACAUUCGCGACUCCAAAGAAUACUGAAGCUUGGCAUUGGGUAGGAUGCCAUGAGAGCUGUAUGCAUGCGCUUGGAAACAUAACCCCUCCGGCCCUCCCAAAAAAAAAAAAUCACAAUCAUAUGCGUAUACCAGCAACGAAUACAAAUUUACACUGCGAGAUUUCUACCCGUAGAAGAGAAGAUCUCUUUCUCUUUUGUUGUCAUCCAGCGGUGUGCUUCACCAUUUUUAGAUGCACAUUUGUGGGAGAUUUUUUGGUCUGUUUUGAGUAUCAUCAUAACUUCAAGCAGUUAGGUUCAAUAUUGGGUGGCGAAAUAAAGGUUUUGAAUCCUUAAAUUGAAUUAGUUUUAAUCAUUUAAAAUUUAAAUCACUAUAAUCAGUUAUAAAAAAAAAAUAAAAAGAAAGAUAUCGAUCGGAGUAAAUGAUUCCCUAAAGGGACUAUAGAAUAUUUCACAUGUUAGUGCCUAAAAUGUCAUUGGUCUUUGACGGGAGGGUGAACAUGCAUGCCAUCGAAUGAGGUGCGCCAGCUAAUUAAUCUUGCAUUAUGAGUUAGGCGGAUUUUACGGCAUUUCGUCUCGAUCAGUUUCUAUAGAGAAUAGCUCUCAUACAAUGACACCUUUUUUUUUUGCUGCUGCUGUUCUCUUUUCUUCCCAAGUUUUCAAAAGUUCUGGAUGGGACAUCAUUGGGUUUGGCCAUUUUUCAAUUGUUCUUCAUGAAAGCAGUGCAAAAUAUUUCAUUACUUGUUGAAUGUGCUUCAUUCUUGAGUUUCCAUGAACUACCUUAAAGGUCAAAUAAUGAUCCAAUAGCUAUUGCAUUAGGGUUACUUUAAUUUUGCACAAAGAAAACAUUAAGCCCCUUUCCCACGCAAGAAUCAUGAGUGGUAGUUCUAGUGCGAUCCGUACUUCAGCUGGUAAGUCAUGUUAAAGAUGCAUUAAUCCAAUCAAGUACUUUGGAGCAAUUCACCAUUAUGGUUUUAAGUAAUUAAAUAUUACUGUUAACAAUUAUAGCAAGCGUCACCCCAUUAAAGAUUUGGUAAAAGAACUGUCAAGACCAAUGAUGCCCCGAGAGAUUCAAUUUGGCAUGAAAAGUGGUUUUGAAAUCAUUGUUACUGAUCAAAUUCUGUGAAUUUGUUCAAAUGAGGAAUAGUCAUCAAAAUCAGCGGCUGAGUUAAUAUGCAAGAGACUUGGGGACAAAUGAUGACGGAACCAGAAACUGAGGGUUAGGAGCCAAAAAUUUUGGAUGGCGUUUGUUGGUACGCGUCUUGGAAUCGGAUUUGAAUUCAAAAUCAUUCAUCCUAAAUUUGAAAUGAAAUCAAUCAUUUCAAUACAUCUAUUUGAUUUGAUACCUGAAAAAUAUAUCAUUACUGAUGUUUGACAUGUUGAUUCUUUCGGAACGGAAAAGGAUGAAGGGAAGCGAGAAAAUGAGGAAGAGGGAGAAAGGAGACAGAGAGAGAAAAGAGAAUGAAGAGAGGAGGAGGGUGGUAUUGGGGAGGAAGGAAGGAGUGACGGCGACAACAAUGACGGAGAAGAUGGUGGAUAAGAAGGAUAGAGUGUGUGUUUUUGUAAGUUUUAAUAAAAAUUAAAUUUGAAUUUUGUCCAAAAUCCUCCACCCUACUUAGGUUUUGAGGAAUUCUAGAAUUUAGGAAAUGAUUCCAAAAUCUCUAUUUCAACAAUAUUAAUCCAAACAAUAUUACAUGGGAUUCAUUUCGAAUUUUCUUACCAUAUGCCAUCUCAAUGCAUAAGACUUUAGGGACAAUCUUAUAAAAAUUCUGGGAGGGGAGGAAAUUUUUGGAACCGGUGUUAUCCAUAUGUUACUAUUAUUUAUUUAUUUGUUUUUCAACGUAACAAGCCCUCCUUAAAAGCAAUAAUUUCUAUUGUAAUCGUGUCUAAUUUUUUUCAAGCAUAACUACGUAUUAAAAAUUGGCUUUUUUCUAUCUAAUUAUUCUAAAAAAAGAAGUCUUCAAACACACAGUAGUACUACUGCCUUGAGAUGGUUGGUUUGACUUGGGAGGAUUACAAUAAACUAGUCAAACUCCCAAUGCUUUUUCUCUCUGGAUUUGGGCUGAAUUGCGGAGCAGCCACUUAUCUCCCUUAUUUUGGAAGACCAACAAGCUUUAGAAUAAAAUAUUCUUUUUCUGUCUUUGCUGGAAAAGUUUGAUUGAUUAAAAUGCAUUUGACAAUGGUAGAGUAUGACAAGACUAUUACACCUACUAAAAGAAUUCCUGCUACAAUUGCUGCCGCCGAGCUAUAAAAAAAAAAAAAAAAAAAUCAUAGCCCAUUACUUGUACGGUUGUACUCUAUAAUUUUCCCACCUCCUUUUACAUUCAUCUUUGGUUGGGAUUUCUUUGCUUUCUUUUCUUUUUUGGAUUUACAUUGUUCGGUAUUCUAGAAACAAAUGUAGCUAGGCCUCGAGUUAUUCCAUUUAAUUUAACCCACAAUAUUUGACUUUAUUUGAAACGUUUUUGAUUUGUGUACCCGAUGCGCAUGCUUGUGAGUAGUCCUUCGCAGCAACAAAGUCAAACAAUGAGAAAGACUGAACAAAACUGUGCUGUGCUGCUGUUAUUCUCGAGGCGUCCACCACCGAGCGCGUAUUUUUGUCCGUACGCCCACUGCACAUUAUAUAAUCCCUAUUCGUGCUUCAAAGUGUAAAUGUUCAUACGAGUUAAUCUCAUAGCCAUGAAUGAUGUACUUCUAUACAGCCCUUUUUUUUUUUUUUUUGCCAUUCAGCAAAUUGAUCAUAUUGACUUGAGCAACUUUAAUCCCAAGAGUAAAGUAGUGCGUUUGUCUGAUUUGGAGAUUCACGCACCUCCCACGCUAUAUAAGUCGAGUUGGGCUUACUCUCCCAUGUAAUGCAGAAAUAGUGUAGAUUGUUACCGUCGUCAUCGAGGAAAAAUGUAACCCUAAUCACCCUCAACAUUUUCUUCAAAAAAAAGGAUAAUUGUUUUAAUAUAUUGUUAGUGUUUAAUUUUUUUUCACUACUAAAAGUUUAAAUCGUAUCGUAUAAUAUGAAUUCAAAUUUAAAAUUUAAAUCAUACAUAUGAAAUGCACAUUCAGAGCUGCUACUGUAAAAAUAUACUCCCUCCGUCCCACUUUAAUAGUUCUGUUUCCCUUUUUCGUCUGCCCCAAAUUAUAGUCCACUUUCCAAUUGAAGAAUGGAGUUGUGUUUUAAUUUUCUUAAAAUACUCUUAUUCAAUGUAAGUUGUUGUUACUAUAAACCUACCCUAUUUGACGAGAGUUGAUUCUUUUUUUACCAUCGAUUCAAGUUUCCAUAAAGUCGUACUCUAAUUAAUGUGAGGGUAUUUUAGAAAAAUAGUUACCUAAAUUAAUUGUUCCAACCAACUUAAUUGUUCUGCUUGGUAUUUAGGCCAGAACUUACGGAGCAAUUAAGUACUCUUCGGACCAGAGUCCAUAUGAUAUGGGCUUUGUUGCCUCGCCUGUCGGCAUGUGAAAAUAAAAGAAAAAGUAAAUCGGUCAAGUCCAAAGGGUUCCAAGGACUAAACUACAGGAAGAGUCCACGUCGUCUGGGACUGAGAGGGCCGCAUGACCUUCGUAACACGAAAAGGACAGCGUGGAAAUUGUCAAACCCAUCAAUUUUUAUAAGCGUCCCUUCCUAUAAAAAUAAUAAUAAUAUGCCACUGAACUAAUCAAGACUUUUGACCCAAAAAAAAAAGCACUAAACAAUUGCCAAGAAAAUCUUGGAAUUCCGACCAGCAAAUCUCAAGUACAGUAAGCAACUUCAGACUUUAGUUAGGAAAAAAAAAAAAAAGGUCUCACGCGUGUCAUGCACCUUUUUAAUACCACGCCGUUUGCCGUUUCUCUUUCUACGACACGAGGGCUGAGGAGCAGCAAUUCGCAAUUAUAUCACUCUCUCUCACGUGUAUAUUCUACCCUCAAUCAUCACUAUCCAUUUUCAAUCAAUUAAGUUAAUUAUUAAGUAUUUGGCAAAGUAAUUAAGUCAAUUAUUUCCCUUUGAAGAGGUGGAGAAAGGAAACAAACCAAAGUGAAAUUCACGAGGCAGGAAGAAGAGAAAGGACGAAAGAUAUCUUGCACGUUCUAUUAUUAUUAUUAUUUUUUUUUGUUGAAUUGAUACUGCAUGAUUUCGUUAGGGUUUCGUAGAUAAUAAAUUUUGCGUUGAAGUUUUUAUAGCAAUUAUGAGGCCCACAAGAACUAUCCUAAAAUUAUUCAAUCAAAUCAAUGUGCAUAAAAAUUAGGGCUGAAAGAUGAAUUGAGUUAUCUGAUACUCGAAUCGAAUAUUCUGCUUGGUAAGAACUCAUUCGAGCUUGAUUCACCUACUAGUUAAGCCAAAUUUGAAUAGUAUUUUGUGUUCGAUAAAAUUUGUUCAAUCUCGAUUCAGUAAAAAAAUAGGUUAAAUUUGAAUAAAAUUUUAAACUUAUAAAUUAAUUAAAUAAAUUUAAAUAUUAGGGUGUUCGAUUCUAUUAAACUUAUUUACGUCUCUACAAAAAAUCUGAGGAACCAAAUUGUUCUCCGAAAAAUGGAACCAGUAUAUAACAAACAGUGCGAACUGCAUCUCAAAUUAAAAAUUAAAAAAGAAAAAUGUUUUACCUACGGUAGUUGUACUCUAAUAAUAAUAAUAAUAAUAAUAAAUUAAAAUUUUCAAAAAGAAAUUUAAAGAGAAAAGUGGUACACUUGUGCACAAGGGCAUACCUUUGCGAAUUUUUGCGACUGUAAAGUUCAUUGGACCUUUGACCAACAACUUCUAAUGGAUUAUAAGUAAACACUGAGUUUGUUUGGAUAAGAAUUUAUUUGGAUGAUUUAUUUGAUUCAGUUACUGUAGCACUUUUUGUGAUGUGAUGUAUGUGAGAUAAAAAGGUGAUUGGGAAUUGUGUGUAUGAUGCAAGCAAAACAAAAUCUGAAAUUUUUAUUUCAAAUUCUUGUUGUCCAAACAAAAUCACUUUUAUUUUAGCAAGUAAAAAUUUUUCAAUUUUUUUUUUCUCUACAUUGUGCUAAUAGACAAAAAUAACGGCGCAAAAAAAAUAAUAAAAUAAAAUAAAAAAGAAAAAGGGUGAUCCAGGUGGCAAAAAGAGAGGCACGCCUCGGUGACAGAUGAGUAGCACAGUAAGGAAACAGUAAAAAAGAAGAUGCAAACAAUCAUAAGCGCGAAAAGAGGAUCUUGUUUUCACAGUUCGUGCAAUGCGAAUCACCGUCGGGAUCUCUAUAUAUAUAUAUAUAUAAUUCUACAAAUACAUUACGAAUUCGAACCCAAUGCAUCUGUCUCUCCAUGCAGAUGCAGAUGCAGAUGCAGUCAGUCCCUAUAAUAUUUUCCCAUUUUUCCAUAGCCCCCUCGCAUGCAUUAGCGCACGCUUUGGCGCUUUUACCCAUGACUGUAAAAAUUCAAUGCUCUUCUAGAAAAGGCUACCAUACCAUACCCAAAAUUACAUGUAGUACCCAUGUGGAUUCAUCUUUUAGCCUAUGAAGAAUAUUUAUAUUAGCCUCAUAGACAAUUUAUUUGAAACAAUAAAAAAGGAGAGGAAGCAUUGGCAAAAAAAAUGCUGGAGAAGGUCUCACAUGAAUUGCCAGUGUUCUCAAGAUUCAAUUUAGCUUAUAAGAAUAUUAAUUAGCCAAGUGACGGUGAGAUCUCUAGUUUUACUUUCGACUAGGGCUGCAAACGAAUCGAACCGCUUGCGAGCGGCUCGAGUCGAGCUCGAUAUUAAUCGAGUUCGAACUUGAGCUCAAAAUAUUAAGCUCGCGAGCUUAAGUAUAUAUAUAUAAAUAUAUAUAUUAUUUUUAUUUAAUAAUAAAAUUAUGUAUAUUAUAUAUUUUUUUUAUUUUUUUAUUUUCAUAGUAAAAUUACGUAUAUAUUCUUAAUAUUUUAUUAUUUAUUAAGAAAAAAAAUUAUUUUAUUUAUUUUUUUACAAAUAAAAUAAUUAUUUUUUAUUUUUUUCGAGCUCGAGCUUGGCUCGACUUGAUUCGAGUCGAGCUCGAGCUUGAAAAUUGCCGGCUCGUCGAGCUCGAGUUCGAGUUUGUUAAAAUUUAGUCGCGGCUCGGCUCGAUUAGCUCAAAACUCGACUCGACUAGUCUCGUUUGCAGCCCUACUCUCGACCCUUCUCCCUUUUCUACUGUCCCUUAUAAGGUUUGGAACCUGCCUUCAAACUAAAAAAGAUAGAUGGAUUGCGAGAGUCUGUUCUGACAAUUAUUUUUAAAUUUCUUGUAAUAAUAUGUAUUAUAACACUUUUUUUUUAUAAUGUGAUAUAUUUAAAUAAAUAAAAAAUAUAACUAAAAAUAUAAAAAGAUAAGUUGAAAAAUGUAUUGAUGAUGUCAGUAAAAAAAAUCUAGUAUCGAGAUUUAUUCACAAGUUUAUCAUAAGUGAACCUUUCUUACACUGUACAUAUACAUUUAUACAUAUAUAUAUAGUAGCAAUGUGGAUGCAACAAGUAUAAAUUUAUUUGUUCAUGUAACGUAACCAUGAGAAUAUUCAUCUUCACAGCAAAAAGCAUUGCUCCCGUAAAAACUCUUUUUUGCCAAUCUAUAACGAUUGCUCUAGCAACGCCAAUAAUAUUUAGAGCACGCAAACCCUUAAAUUCAUUUCUCCAAAAAAAAAAAAAUCAUUCGAAAAUAUUGCAUGGAACCGCUAAGCAUGCAUUUUGUUGUACACUGUAUACAUGAGAUGAGACUACGUGUGUGCGUGAAUACAGAAAACUGCACAUAGGGGUGUGAGUGUGAGUGUGGGUGACUUUGUGAGUGUGUGAAAUGUAAUGGUCAAAUGAUAGUUUAAUUGGGGUGUGAGCGAGUGUCCGUAGGCAAUGCACGCGGAGAGCGAAGGAAGAAAAGGAAUGAAACCAGAGGGUAAAGAUUUUGUGCGGAUGUGAUCAGAGGAUUUUAAUAAUAUAACUGAUGAAGAAGAAGUCAUAAGUCAUAAGUGGGAUCCCGGCUACUGCAGACGAGUGAGCCGCCGGCGCCAGUGGCGUGCUUUCUUCCUUCUUCUGGCGUGUUUUUAACUGUAGUUUUCACCCUUUUUCUUUUCUUUUCUUCCUUUCGGGAUCACGCACACACUCUACUAUUUACUACUACUUGGUAACCUAAUCUAAUUGAAUUCAUUGACUUGAUACUUCACGUUGUUCAUAUUUGCUCCCACUGCAUGCAUUUCUGCAGAAAAUAGUUCAUUCUUCCCCCUUCUUUUUGAACACAACAUGAAUGUAUUUCUAAUACAGAGUCAUCUUCUACAUUUUUAAUCACUUGGGUUACUGAAUUUGCGUUCUGUCUAGUAAGUUCUGUGUACUUACUAUCCCCUAACACAAAAGCAUCUUUAGAUUCUCCCUUUCCUGUAAUUUAAAAUAGAAUAGAUUACACAAUUAUUAUCGUCUCCGAAAAAAAAAAAUUAACUCUCCGAGAGGGGGAGCCCAGUGACAACUAACACCGGUAUCAAUGUCCAAUCACACCAACUCUCAAUGAACUCUUAAAUGAGAAGUUAGAUGAUCUUAUCCAAUCUAAGAGUCCGAUACAUGAGAGUGUGUGUGAUAAAAUAGUUCCUAUAUGCACAACUUUGGUCUUUUAUUCGUUAUAAGUUAAACCUCAGCCAGCAAUGUAAUUAAUGCAAAUGCAUGGAUGAAUAUUAGUCCUCCUCAACUGAUCGCUAAGAAGAAAUUUAUUGUAGAUCCUAAUUAGUAACUUUGUACCGUUUUUCUAUAUUAAUGGAUUAUGGAAGGGUGGAGUGCUAAAAGAGGAUUGGGAUGACAGCUACAAGUCACUGUAAUUCAUGAGAAGCAACUACGCAUGGGCAGUCAACCCUGACUCAUAGGUGUAGAAAGACUUGAAAUUAGAAAAGAACCGUACUUUUUUUUUAAAGGAAAAAAUUUGAGUGUAUUCGACUUAUAUUGCCAUUACAGAUCAGGGUAUAUUCAUCAAUACAUUUCUCACAUUAAUCAUAAAAUUUGAAUACACGAUCUUUUAAAAAAAAUAGGGCAAAAAACCUCAGCGGCCAUUAAACUAUUGACGGUGAGAUCAUGUUUUGGCCAUCAAACUAUUUUUUGUCAAUAAUUGACCACUAAACAAUUUAAUCCGUAAAUCCGUGACCAUUUCGUCAUUAAUUGUUCUUAAGUUCUGAAAUUAGCAUUACACGUGGCAAUGUUCGGGACAAUUUUGUCCAGCAAUUUACUGACCCUAAAAGUCCAGCAAUUUUGUCGAGCAAUUUACUGCAAUUUUGUCCGGACUUACAAUCAAAACAAAAUAAUUGGUCCCUGCUACUAGUUUGGAGCCUAUCUUGUUUGUCCUAAAUCCACAUUUAAAAUUGUACUCCAGUACCAAUUAGUAGUAGUACUUGAUUAAUUAGGAGGCCUAGCCCGGGUGGAUACGCGAUCUCAAGUCUCUAGUCUCUACUACUGUCCACGGUGUCUAGGAUCCACGGCGCCCAUCGGAAGUGGGGUUGCGGUUGCACCGGCUUCCUGCUUUUGGCCUUAUACAGAUAUCUACGGUCACCAGAAAAUGUCCUCCAAUUACCUGAGGAGAAGAAUAUGUAACAGAAGAAGAAGCACAACGAGAUCAUUACCGCGAUACUCCAACGGGUCUAAAGCGGGUGCUUCAUCGCUGAGCUGCAGGCAACCGGCUGUCUCAGCUGAACCACCACCACCACCACCAGGACAAAGUUCGGUACUCCUCCCUCACGUCAGCAACGGCUACAGGCGGCAGCCCCAUCUCUCUACUACUACCAAACAAGAAGCAGGAGGGGUUGUGAUGAGUCCUGGUUUAAUAAACUACUUUCGAGUAUCGGAGGAUUUGGUCCUCCCAUCCGAGGCUGACGGUGGGCCUCCGCGCUGGUUUUGUCUUUUGGACCGCACCUCCUGCUCUUCCUCUCACUCUGCAUCUUCUUCAAAAAACCACAAUCCUCUCUUGCUUUACUUACCAGGCCAGCAGCCACUACCUAAUAGGAUUAGUAAAUUGCUAGACAAAAUUGCCCCUGAACAUUGCCACGUGUAAUGCUAAUUUCAGAACUUAAGAGCAAUUAAUGACGAAAUGAUCACGAAUUUACGGAUUAAAUUGUUUAGUGACCAAUUAUUGAUAAAAAAUAAUUCGAUGGCCAAAACAUGAUCUCGCCAAUAGUUUAAUGGCCGCUGAGGUUUUUUGUCCGAAAAAAUAUAAUCAACUUGUGUUAACAACCUGUCAGCAGAAGCAAAGCAGUGUACUGCUUCUAGUACUCCAUCAACCUGCAGGCAGCCAUGACAGUAUGAAUAUAGCGUAGUGAUACGCUGAUAGGCUUUGGCAGUUGGGCUUGUGCUGUGCAGUACAUCCAUCAGCUUUAAGAGUAACCACGGGCAUCGAUUCUUGCAAAGGACGUCAAGCCUUUUGAGUGCAACGAUCACAAGAUUGAUAUUACCACGGGGCUCCCCCGAAGCCACGACGUCUCAUCAUGUCUGCCAUCCCCUUCCUUCCCUCUUUUGCAUGUUAAGGUCAUGGGUACAAAUACAAUGGUGGAUUUUUGCUUUCUGAGUAAGGGUAAAAAUUCAAGCACCAGCCUGUGGUGGACUGGUGGCCACCACCAAGCUUGGUGGGGUGGGAGGACCAAAAUAUCACGUUUAAGUGGUUUGUUUCAAAAAAAUUCAGGCGGGUGUGUUGUGUACUCGUUUGAUCCGGUGGUUGUUCAAUUCCCUCCGAGUUAUCUCUAAGCCUCCUUAGAUCCGCCCCUCCUCCUUAGUGUAGAAUAGAUUAGGUUAUAUAACAGUUAUCAUCUCCGAAAAAAAAAGAGUAAGGGUAAAAAUUCAUUCAUGGUUGUUCAUGUAUAACUCAUAUAUUUCCUUUUCAUCAACUUUUCUUUCCCCAGAGACCUCCAAAAUUUACUAGAAAAUACAAUUCAAAUGGGACCUUAAUCCCUCAAAAAAUCGCAAUAAAAGAAUUGUCAGAUAGUUCGCAUUUUUUCAAAAGAUAUAGUAUGAAACUUCCAAAUUAUCAUUAUGUGUCUCAAGAUGGCCCGAUAAAUUAUCAUUAUAUUUCCAAGAUCAAGGACAAUUCCUUGAAUUUUUUUCUUUAGUAGGGUUGGAGAAAGAGAAUCUCGCCUCUAGAUCAAAAGGACUCACUGUUACUACUGUGCACCCUUUGAAUUAUGAAAUUAGUAGAAGUGGUAAAUCAACCCACUUAACUAGAUUUAUCCAUACCCUUCCAUGAAUAGAUGGGUAUGGGUAUCUUAAAUUUUUGCAUAUGGGUAUAAAUGGGUUACCCAAUAAUACCCAUUUAAUAAAUAGGUAUUAUUGGGUAACCCAUCAAACCCAAUUAACCCAUUUAAAAUUCUCUUCCCCCCAAGUCUCUUCUUUUCCCCUACCUUUUUUUUUCAAAUUUUUCAUUUUGUCAUGAUGUUAACAUUAUUAUUAUUAUUAUUAUUAUUAUUAUUAUUAUUAUUAUUAUUAUUUGUUGGUUUUAUCUUAUUAUUUUAUUUUUUCUUAAUUUGUUAACUUGCUCAUUUUUUAGCAUUACUAAUUUAUGAUAAAUUUUAGCCUAUUUUCUUAUCUUUAUAAAAUGAAAUUUUAAAUUUAUAUAUGAAAAAAAUGUUAGGGGUUCAAAAUUUUUGGAUUAAGUUUUUAUAUUAAUUUUUGUAGUACUUAAUUCAAAUUUUUAUAUUCGUAUUAUUCAAUUAUUAAAUAAUAGAUAAUUUUGUGACAUAGAGUAUAAAUGAAAAAAAUUGGUAAUUAAGUUUAUUGAACAUUAUAAUUAAAUAUUUAAAACUAAUGAUGGGUACAAAGAGUGGUAUAAAUUGAAAACUUAGUUUGCAAAAAUGAAUUUAAAUGAGUUUGCAAAAAGUUAAAAUAAAUGAGUUAUAAAUGGGUAAUUGGGUUACCCAAUUCAUUUUUUGACUUAUCCAUUUAUAUCCAUCUAAUUAAAUGGGUAUAAAUGAGUUGACUCACUUACACCCAUUACCCAUUUUACCCAACCCAAACCCGCCCAAGUCACCCAUUUUGACACCUCUAGAAAUUAGUAUAGAGGUUUAAACCUUUGAUCUCCAGUCAAAUUUUAUAUCUCAUGGCCAACUCGCCUAAAAAGGAUUAAAGGACAACUCCUUGAUUGCUUCCAUAGUUCCAUGAUCAAGGACAGUACAGAGUAGGGUUAAAGGAAAUUCAACCCAAAAACAGUACAGAAGCAUGUUCUUAAUUGCUCCCUUCUUUCUUAGGAGGGGAAAAAGGUAAACAAUUAACGGUAAUUAUUUGCAUUUGUCUCUGCAUGAGUUACACAAUAGGGAGUAACUUGACACGGUGAAUACUGAGCGAAAGGAAGUUGCAUUAUUCUUUUCUAAAUAAAUUAUUUAUCUCUAUAAUCUAUAUUUUUUGUGUACUAGUUUGUUAAUCAUGCAAAGGAAGUUCCAUUCAACCUCUCUUGAUGAGGAGGACAGAGGAAGACAUUACGUUAUUGUUUUUUUUUCUUUUUUGUGGUUAUUUUGUCUAUUAUGUUUGUUUGUGGUUCAAAAGUAUUAGCUUGGUUUGGAGUAAAAUUUUUCAAAAACUAUUUUUAAAAAAAUUUUCUACUCAAAUUUUCCAAUAAUUCCUUUAAUUUGGCAAACGUACUAAUCUAACGAUUGCUGGAGUAAUAUUUUCUGGAAUUUUUCUAAAAAUGCAAAAAUAAUGUGGCUCUCUUUGAAAUCAUCCGCCUAGCAUGAGCCCACAUAUACUAAGCCAGGUUCAAUCAAUUCGAUAUCAUUCCUUAGGUUGGGCUGCAGCAGCCCACUGUGAAAUCCUGCCCAUAUUUGUCAUUAGGAUUUGGUAUUGGACACUAGACACCUAGGCCGAGACUCUCCCAAUGGACUAUCCAAAUUUUCUCUCGACUAGACCAUAACCCAUUCGUCCAAUUAUGAAAAGGUUUAGAAUAAAUGGCAAAAAAAAAAAAAAAAAGUCACUCGACGAUUAAAUUUUUUUUAAGCUAAAAAGGUCACUAGAGAAAAAAAUAUUAUAAUCUCAAAUAAUUGAAUGAUCUUUUUUGCCAUUGGCUCAAAGGUUUUAGUCAAUAGAGAACAAAGGAAGCAAACUUACAUUUAUUUGUUUUGUUAAACACAUAGACUCCUAAUUUGGCAGUGACAUGUAGGCAUGUUAAUAGGUAAGAUCUAUGUUAGAUUCAGGGGGAGAGGGUAGUGAGAGGGAGUAGGAAGAGGGAAGGGCAUGAAUUGGAUGGUAUAGGGGGUAAGAAGUGUAAGUGAGGGGUUUUUGAUUCGAGACCUCUCACUUACAAAAAAAAAAAAAAAAAAAAAGGUCCAUAUUAAAUCCACUAGAUUCAUCUUAAAUUGAAAGCCACUAAAUUUACUCAAAUCCAAAUUUAGACUCAAGUCCUCAUAAGUUUUAAAAAGAAAAUUCUGAUCCAAACCCAGAGCUUCAUAGGUUUGGGUAUCUAAUUGGUAUUUAUGGAUAUUGUUAUAAUGUAUAAUUAAAUUGAAAAUUUUAAAUAUAAUAAAAUUAUGAAUUUUAAAAAUAACAUAAACAUAAUCUAAUUACCCAUUUCAAAUAACAGGAGCAUGUUUGGAUAGUUUCUUAUUUACAAAAAAAUUAUUUGAUUGUAUUAUAGACAUAUUUUUCAAUAACAUUUUUUUUAUUAUUUCAAUCAUCUUUUUAUUUAAUAUACAUCACAAAAAAUUAUUUAAAUAAUUUUCUAUCCAAACACACUUAAGUUAACAUUCAAGAAUGUUGUAUGCACGAAUUAUGAACUAAAAGGUAUGAAAUAUUAACAUUUAAUUACAUUGCUUGAAAUAUUAUCGCUUAAUCAUGAGUUUGGGUAGGCUUCAUGAAAUAUCAUUGUAUGAAUCUAGAUUCCACUAAAUCCAUGAUUCUUUUGGAGGGUUUGGAUCUAGGUAGGAUCAAAAUUUAAAAAUUUUAAUCCAAAUCCACAAAAAUAUAAUGGGGCUGAGUUAAGUCUAGUAAGAUUCAGCCCAUUAAUCCAUAAAAAUAUAAUGGGUCUGGGUUAAGUUUGGUAAGAUUCAGCCUAUUAACAUGUCUAACUACAUGCUAUCUUAAAUUGGCUUAGAGUUAUUUUUGUGCGGGAACAGAAAUAAUAAGAUAAUGUUUUCUUUGUUAUAAAACUAAUAAAAUGAAAUACUACAAUAGGAAUUGAAGAAGGAGUAGAGAAAAGGAGAAUGAUAUCCUUAUAUUUCAACAAGAUACAAAAGUCCUCUCAAAGGGUUUCAAUAUACCUCUAUAUAUAGGCACUACAAGAUUAAAGGUACAUAAAUCCUAUUAAACAUCCACUACUACAAUAAUAUGAAAAAACUUAUGAAACGGUUUCUCCACUACAUGAAUAGAUUUAUGAAUUGUAACUUCUAUACAUAAUGUAAUCAUAAAUCAUGAAUUAAUCCUCUUGGGAAUACAAAGGGACAUCCAUACUUUUAAUUGUUUCAUAACACUCCCCCUUGGAUGUCCAUUACACAAAGAAUAUGUCUCGUUAAAACCUUACAGGGAAAAAUCCAGUGGGAUCAAAAACCCUAGUGAAGGAAAAAGAGUACACUAUUCUUGUGUAUUAAUUUCUCCCCCUGAUGCAAACAUCAUUUGAGAUCUUUUAAUCGUCGCAUUCCAAUAUUCUUUGCCAAUUGCACUGAGAUAUGGUACUUCAGGACCAAGUAUCUCUUCAUCUUCCUCUCACGAUCUAAAAGAAUCUUUAUUAGAAUCUAAUGAUCUGACGACCAUUGGAAUACUUAAUAUAUGUGUCUUAUCCAUAUAAAACCGCUUUAAUACCUUCCGGGUAUAUGCAGUUUGGUAGACAAAAAUUUUACAUUUCAAAUGCUCAAUUUGUAAACCAAGGUAGAAUUUUGUCUUUUCAAAAUCUUUGAUCUCAAAUUCUUUUCUCAAAUAUUCAACAUUAUUUUGAAUCUCUUCAGGAGUUCCAAUCAAAUUUAGAUCAUCAGCAUAUACAGCAAUUAUCACAAAAUUUGAUCAAUUUUUCUUAAUAAAAACACAUGGACAUAUUGGAUCAUUGGUAUAACUUUCUUUUGUCAGACAUUCAUUGAGACGGUUAUACCACAUACGUCCAAAUUGUUUGAGCCCAUACAGAGACCUUUGUAAUUUAAUAGAAUAAAUAUUUUUAGAAUUUGAUUUGCAUGCUUCAGGCAUGUUGAAUCUUUCGGGGAUUCUCAUAUAAAUAUUAUUUUCAAGAUUCCCAUAUAAAUAUGCAGUAACGACGUCCAUUAGACGCAUAUCUAAUUUCUCAUGUACUGCAAAAUUUCACAAGAUAUCUAAAUAUAAUAGCAUCCACUACAGGUGAAUACGUUUCAUUAUAAUCAAAUCCAGGCCUUUGUGAAAAUUCUUGGGCUACAAGUCUUGCUUUAUAUCUCAUAAUUUUAUUUUUCUCAUUUCUUUUUCUCACAAAUACCCAUUUAUAUUCUACUGGCUUUACACCUUCAGGUGUUUGGACUACAGGUUCAAAAAAACUUUUCUUGUAGCCAGUGAGUCCAAUUCAGAUUGGAUCGCAUCUUUCCACUUUGAACAAUCAUUUCUAUACCGACAUUCAUCAACCGAUAUAGAUUCAUGAUUCUCAUCAAUUUCUAUAAUAUCAAGUGCUAUAUUUUUUUAGCCUCCAAUUAAUUUUUUUUUAUGAUUUCAUUAUCUUCAUAAGUUGGCUCUUCAGGAGCAACAUUUUCAAGAGAUUGAAUUUUAUCAUGACAUUUAAUCUCCGGAGAUAUAUGAAAUCAAUUUAUACCUUAUUUAGGUAGGCUGGCCUUAAAUUUAUUUGUAACACUUGUGCAUGUCCUUCAGGGACAUCAAUUUUAAUCAAGGUAUUUCCUGCAGGAACAGUUAAUUUAAUAACUCUUCUAGAGUCGAUAAUAUAUCUGACAACUGGUUUGCAAUUUUCUGCAAAUGAAUAAUUUCUUGAACUUCCAGUUCACGUUAUUUUGUAUGAGGAUCGAGGAAAUCCAAUUUUUCAGGUGAUUUCCUUUCGGUUGAUUUCUUCCUCCCCCUAAUGUCGGAAAUCGUAACUCAUCAGAAUAAAUAAAUCAUUUAAUAGAUCACUCAUCAAAUAUUUUACGAUAUUUAAUCGUAAAAAGUGAUUCAUACCCGACAUAAAUUCUAAAUUUCUUUUGGAGCCAUAUAUAAUAUAAAGGGGGUAUGUAUAAAUACUUGUCGGCUCUCAAAUAUUCUCACUUUUGUCAAAUCAUAUAUCCAUUGGGAUCAGUAAACUUCUGGUUUGUUGCAAUUGAUGAUUAUAAAUCAAAAUGAGAAUAAAGACAACUAUAUCGAUAACCAUUUCUCUCUCGAAUGGUUAUUAUAAUAUAAUUAACCUUUAUCUCACUUGAUUUCUAAAUAUGAUCUUUAUUAUUGUCUCAUUUAAUGUCUCAAUUUGAUAUCUAUUUCAACGGAUAUUCAAAUUCAAUAAAUUUUUCGAGACAUGGUAAAAAGUAGUACUUUAUUCAUGAUAAACUUUUUACCUACAGGGAGAAAUAUAGUAGUGGCUCUUCUGAAGCUUUCAAUCACUUAAACACUAACACUAAUUGUGUUUGUCUCUUUUGUUGAAAAAUAGUGUAUAUAGUAACACUUAUUAAUGAGACACAUAUCAUUAUCACCAUAAUUCUUAUAGGACAAAUAUCAUCACUAUAAUCCUUUGAUCCCAAAUGUUUAACAUCUAUUUCUUCUUCGGGAAGAAAAACUAAUUAAAUCAAUCAUCAUACACCUUCAGGGUGUUUAAAGAAAUUGGCCAUGUGAAAAUGCUAUUAUAAUUUUGAUUCGUAAAAUGUACUUCGGGACAUUUAUCUUUAGGACCUUUAUUUUCGUGUCCUUAUCAUUAUUAUCCCACUUCAAGUGGUAACUUUUUCUCUUGUCAUGGUAAAAUAUAUAUUUACCAAAAUCAUAAUCAUGGUAACAACCAUAACUAAUAAAUUGAAAUUUAAUCGCAUUCACUUCUGAGAAUGGACUAGAACUAGCAUGCAAUAAAUACAGAAUACUUCUCAAAUUUCUCUUAAUAUUGCUACUACAGGAGCAUAUUCGAGAAAUCAAUUGUGGAGAAUAUCAUUUUCAAUUAAGAAAUAAUUCUAAACAUAGUAAAAUUGUGUACUUGCAGCCAUAAGUAAAUUUAUCAUAUCAGAUUUUGAAAUAAUGACUAUUUUCUGGUGGCCAAAUAUUUUCGUUAAAGAAUGACCAUCUUCAAGUGAUCGAAUCUUUUUCUUUAAAUAUUUCAAAGGACAAGUAGAUCCUCAAAUAUAAUUGAUUUUCUAUAAUAGCAUCUCCAAAAUUCAUUGCAUCAGAAUAUAAGUAUUUAUAACAAAUAAUUCUAAAGAUAAAUAAGUAGAAUUAAAGGGAGAAAUAUUACCUCAAAGAUGUCAAACAGUAUAUAUUUGUGUUUAAUGAUUGUUCAGCAAUAGGCACUUGUAUUUUUUUGAUCAUUCAAAUGUUAAUCAUAAGAAAUUGAAAUAAAUUUAUGUGUCAAAAAUUUACCUCAAUAAGUAGACAGAAGUUGCCGAAAAAAUACGGGCAGAAUCUCGUGUUUCACUUUUACUCAAGGUAGAGGCUCCGUUUUCACCUUUUUCUCAAAAGUAGAGACUCGUGCUGAUAACGUGUUAUAAAACUAAUAAAAUGAAAUACUACAAUAGGAAUUGAAGAAGGAGUAGAGAAAAGGAGAAUGAUAUGCUUAUAUUUUAACAAGAUACAAAAGUCCUCUCAAAGGGUUUCAAUGUACCUCCAUAUAUAGGCACUACAAGAUUAAAGGUACAUAAAUCCUAUUAAACAUCCACUAUUACAAUAAUAUGAAAAAACCUAUGAAACGGUUUCUCCACUACAUGAAUAGAUUUAUGAAUUGUAACUUCUAUACAUAAUAUAAUCAUAAAUCAUGAACUAAUCCUCUUGGGAAUACAAAGGGACAUCCAUACUUUUAAUUGUUUCAUAACAUUCUUGAAUAAAAAAUCAUGACUAGAUAUAAAGAAACUAAGCAAAACCCCAAGGAGCUUUGUUCCUUUUUGCUUAAGUGUGCUUCUAAAAUACUAAAUAGUAAUAUAAAAUUUCCCAAAUUCAAUAUAUAAAACAUUUUUCUUAAAAAAAGGAAAACGUAUAAUGUGAGCUAAUAUGCCUACUCAAUAAAAUGGUUUGAUUGAUUAUAGUAAAAUUUUCUUAUGGGACUGCAAAUGAAUCUGAGUUGAAUUGAGAUUUGGCUUAUCAAGUUGAGUCUUGACUCAAUUUUAUCAAAUUUGAGUUUGAGUUCGACGAGUUCUCAAUGUAAAGUUUGAGUUCAAUAUUGAUCUCAAAUUUGAGUCGAGUCGAGUUCGAGUCUCUUUGAACUUAAAAAAAUAAAAAAUAAUUAUUUGGUUUUUUUAAAAAUAAAUAAAUUAGUAAUUUUUGCUUAACAAAUAACAAAAUAUCGGUGAUAUAUCUGUAAUUACACUGUUAAAAUAACAAAAAGUGUGAGUGUGUGUUUGUGUGUAUGUGUGUGUGUGUAUAUAAUUAAGCCGCUUGCGAGUUAACGAGUUAAGUUUUUCUAUACUCGGCCUCGACUUGAUUGUCUCAAUCUCGAUUUGAGUUCGAUGUUGACCGAAUUCAAGUCAAGAUUUGAUUGAACCGACUCACGAGCAAUUUGACUCGUUUACAAUCAUAUUUUUUUAAAGAUGCUAAUAUGUGCUAUCCGUGAUUAACCAAUAGUUCGAUGUUUUUCUAUAUUCUUUAUGAAACAAAGGGUACGAUUUAAUUUUAUUUGAUAAUGUUGAAUUUUGCUUUCCAAAGAUCAUAAAGUUCAUUCAUACACAUACACUCACACAAUGAAACCAAAAAAAAAAAAAAAAGAAGAUUCUUUGGUAAGUCUAUUGGAAAUUGUAAGCUUGGCAAUACUACUAGUAUAACUUUCUGCCUCUGUCCUUAAUGGGACAUGGUGCACGAUAUUCAACAUUAAAUGCUUUGUGAUGUAUCGAUGUUUCUACUGUCAAUUCUAACCCCAAACUUCAAGCCUUCAACCAAAAAAAAAAUAUGGAAACCGGCGAAGCCAUCUCAGCUAUGACUUAUGACCAGCCACUAGCUUUGUUUAUUUAUCAUCUACCUUGCUCCUCCUUAUUUUACUUAAGACCUAGGGUCCCGUGUAUUCAAACGAAAAUACUAUAAAGGACACUGAAAAACACAACAGCUGGUCUCUCAAUUCUCAGAGCACUCAAAUUUCGUGACCAAAUAAAUGUAACCUUUGAACAUUCGCCAUCAUUCAGAGCUUUGAUGCAAGAGACCUUUUAUGUUUGCUUAGUAUGUUCCACAUCGUACAAGUUUUAAAAUACUCUUGCAUUUAUGAAAGCAUUUCAAUAUCAAUGCAUGGGUAUUUGCCUUUCUGCAACAUUUUGGGGAGCAUUUAACUCCUAGUACGUUUUCUGGUGUGCAAAAUAAACACAGAAGAGUUGCACAUAUCAUCUGAUGGAAAAGCAAAGGUCGAUAAAUCAAUUUCUUGUCCUCCAUGUAACCCAACACACUUUAGGUUGAGGUCUAAUCGAUCACUACUGAUUGAACACAUCAACUACGAUGAUAAUUUUAUUGCUGUCAUUUCAUCUUAUUCAACUCAGAACCAGUAAUUAGUUGGCAAGGCCUUUUCUUUCUGAUGAACUCAAAGCUCAUUUUGCGCUCAAAUGAAUUGAAAGAUCCAAGAAAAGGCAGAUAUAAUAAACUGAAAACUAAACAGGUACUGUAGGUUGUACUUGCACAAACUGACACAAUCUGAUUAUUGAAUUUAUGAGCAUCAUUAUUGUUUUAUAUCUCCAAGGUCCCAAGGUCCCAAAGUCCUUGUCUUGCAUCUCUUCUUCCAGUAGUAGGAGCAGGAGCAGUAGGAGUAUACAUAUUGAUUUGUACAUGGAUCAGUAGCGCUUGGCCACUUGAAUAUUAGUUUCAUAUUUGUGAUGCAUAAAUAAUCUUGAGACACACCAUACUUAGAUGCUGAUUAAUUUAAAACUUAUAAAUAUCAUGUUAAACAAGAGAACUAGAUCACAUUUUGAUCCAAAUGAGUAGUUGACAUUAAAAAUUUUUUUUUUUAAAAAAAUCUGCUUGUGAAAUUUGUUCUCAUUCAUUCCAAUCCAACGCAUAAAUGUGCUUUCUGAAUUUACAGUUUACUGUGUUUGUUAAAUGUGAAAAUUUAUUUCACAUCAUUUGCAUUUUUGGUUUUAGUUAGUAUGUUAGCAUGUAAGCGUUUUGCAUCAUUGCUAAGGAGGCUAAAGAUUUUUCCAAACUUGGAUGCUCGAGAAAUAAAACCCGUUUGGAUUGUUGUGUUCUGGAGUAAUUUUUCUGUAGAAAAAUAUACUAUAGCGAUUUUGAUAUAUGUGAGGUAAAAAAAAUGAUUGAAAAAUGUAUUCACGACAAACGUAAAAAUUAUUUAAAGAAAAAUGGCAAUCCAAAUAAAGUUUUUUUUUCUCUUUCUGAAAUUGAACCUUUUGUAUGGCCUUCUAUCUCAAUAGAUAUACAAACGAACUAAUCACAAAUUUUAGCUAGGGAAGAAAUAAAAGACAGAAUCUAGACUUAGAAAAUGAAUCAAGACAAAUGAUACAUGUGGAUGCCACGACUCUGGUGGUCUCUUUCGGAAAUUCCCAUCCCAAUGGAGUAUCACGUUUAACUGAGGAUUCGAAUCUGCACAAAGGCUGCGUCAUGAAGGGAGAUAAGUUAUCCAUACAUUUCAUUUCUCCAUAGCUUUUCGAAUUAACUUUUUAUACACUAACAACAACGUAGUGAUUUUUUUUUUUAUACUAACAAUUAUGAAUUUACGUCACACUUGUAUGAUUUGAAUCUUAAAUUUAAAUUUAUACUAUUAUACAACAUGAUUUAAACCUACUCUGUGUAAAAAUAAAAUAAAAUUGUACACUGGUAUUUAUUAAUUUCUUGGAAAUACUAGAAGCUAAGCCUAUGGAUUCUAUAAACACUUUGCCUAGCCUAAUAUUUGGAUUUCUUUUUGAAUUAAUCUUCUAUACACUUUUACCAUUUGAUACAUGACACAUAAUUCAAAUUUAAAUUUAAAAUCCAAAAUUUGCAUACGUGUCGUCGUACAUCCAAUCAAUCGUAAUAAUGUGUACACUAGAAUUUUUAUACUUCUUUCCCCACCUAGAAGCGCACCAAGACAAACAAAAGCAUGACAAAACCGAAAGGGAAAAUCAGGGGGUUCAGAAGUUUUAUGGUUGAAAAGACAAAGGGAUGUGAUUAAGUGCUAAACAAGUUUAUUGGCUCAUUAUCAUUAUCUUUAUGAUGGGCUGUCAAUAUCAGUCAAGAAAUUUGGGCAUCGAGUUUCCAAAACCAAAGGUCCCGCAUGCUAUAAGUAACUAGUAACUAGUAACUAGUGAGAGAGAGCAGCAGCAGCAUGGCCCACCAGUCCAACCAGACACACAGUCAAAACAACCGGUGUUUACAUGUGCCACCUAAGCCAAGAUUAUUAUUAAAAAGAUCAAAACUAAAAUUUAGGAUUUUUCUGCAUAGCAAACUAGUAAGUACUAUGUAAUAUGCACUUAACAUAUCCAUCCAUCUUAAAAAGGGCCAUCCAUAAAUAAUGUUACAAUUUCUUUCACUCAGAAGGUAAACUGUCUACAACCAGCAGCCCAAAGCAUUAAAGUUUGGCGGGAUGGUUCGACGGUGGUUCAAUCCCCUUCGAGUUAUUCAUGUAUCUCUUUAAGUCCGUCCCCUCCCUCAAUAUAGGAUAGAUUAGGUUAUACAACCGUUAUCGUUUUUUAAAAAAAAAAAAGAAGUAAACUGUCUACCACUUCCAUACUUCAAGGCACCAAAUAAACACUAGUAUUAAUUUACAAGGCAUUUAAUGAACAAUGAUUCGAAGAUAGCAAUAAAUAUUUGGCAAGCCCAAUUUUCUUUUCCCCAAAUCUCUCUCAUAUUCGUUUUUUUUUCUUCCCCUUUUUGUUUGGUCCUAUAGAAAACAAACCAGAGAAACAAAUAGAAAAAUCCAAUCUUAACUGGAUGACCUUUUUUAAAACAAAAAAAAAACAUAUAUAUUCUAUAAACACUUUUCUCCUAUCUUGCAAAACCUUUUUGCCUUCUCUAGCUGUGAAGAAGUCUCGCAAUUCAUGAGCAACUCUGCACUUCUCCAAUCCUGCAGGAACCUCUUGCAAAUCAACUUACAUCUCCCACCACCAAAGAAGCAAACUUAUAAUUUAAAUCUCUUCUACAACACUACUUUAAUAUUUCUGACCGUUCCCUCCCUCCCCCAUAUUUCUAAUAUGUCAUUCGUACGUUAUUUAGUGGCAUUGGCAUAUCAAUGAUAAUCUGGGGCAAAGCAUGUCACAGAUGGAGUCUGAAAUUAAGGGAAUGGCCUCCUUGGCUACCAAAAUAUGAAAGUAAAUUGCACCUGAUGCCUGAGUGAAAUAAAUUGAGCACUUCAAUUAACUCCUCAACAUAAAUAGUGAAUUAACUCUUCAAAAGUUCCUGCCCCUAAAUAUCAUUUCUCUGUGUUUGCAGGAAUAGAGUCUGUUUAUGAGUGGAAAGGGAGGUAAGAUCUCUAAUUGUCAAAUACUUUAAAAAAAUGAUAAACAUUGAUACAUAAGUUUCAGCUAUCGAAAAUCUUUUUGGUUCUUAAUAUAUGUGAAGAGAUUUUCUUUCAAGUUUUGCCCUUUGUACUGUUGAUUGCAGGUGCAGACAGAUCCUGAAGAGUUGCUAAUAAUUAAGACUAGGGAGUCACUUUUGGAUGCUCUGACACAGCAUGUCAAGGCGAAUCACGAAUACGAGUAAGAGUUGCUUCUUCAAAUUUUUUGUAUAUUUUAACAUGCAAUGACACUUAAAUAGUUUAAUUGAUCAAGAACUUGUAGUUACUGAUAUGCUGCAAGACGUGUGUGUUGUUACCAAAUGCGGUAAAAGUAAAGGCUAUUCUAGUUUUAACAGUAUAUACUAUCAUUGAGAUGGCAACAUGCAAGCAAGUUUAUGGCUUCAUAAGAACUGGGAUUUUUUAAAUUUUAUUUUAGCUUCUGUUCUUUGUCUGCAUGUGUUCUGGUAGGUUGCCAGAAGUGAUCGCCUUGCCAUAACCGGUGGCAACCUCCAAUAUCUUGAAUGGAUAAAGAAUAGCACAAGGGACUGAACUGGUAAAGCCAAGACUAUAUACAGGAAUAUGCAUCGUUUCUUGGAAUAAAUAAAUUCCCUUUUGGUUGUAUAUAUAGCACUUUGUGCAUACUGUCGCAUGAGCAGUGGAUGUUUAUGUUGCCUUUACUAAUAGAUUGGAUUGGAUAUUGUUUGCCUGAACCACUGUACGUUUGACGCAUCCAUGACCUGUUUUUCAACUCCAGGAAAAAGGGAAGGAUAAAAAAAAACAUGACACGAGCAGCAGCCAAUAUUCUCUCUCUCUCUGCUGUUUUAGCACUAGAAAGUAGAUUUAUUCUGAUAAAACUUACAAGUAAAUUAGCAAUGUAGCUGUGGUUUUCUGCUUCGAGGGUGAGUGAUUUAACUACUGGAUUCUGGCAACGCUUUCCCGAAACUAGCAGCCCAGCCCUACUUCCCCAAUUAUAAUGCUGAGAUUAGCAACUAUUGCUUUCAAUAGGACUGGAAUUACUUUGAUUUGAAUUUCACAGAUAUAGUUUAACCCAAAAACCAAAAAAUCCUCCUCCAAACAACAAAAAACCAAAAAAAAAAGAAAAAGAAAACGAAAAAAAACCACAUAACCGCCGCCCAACCCCAAUCCAGAUGGGAAAAGGAAAAAAAACCGGAAGUCACGUAGAGAAACAAUCAGGUUACUUUGAAACAAAUUCAUUUACUAGACAUAGACAUGAAAAUGAUUAAACAUGGAGAAAAGAAUAUGAACCAAAGGAAGACGAGAAAGUCAUCCAACUAUGGGCAUCAAGGGAAGUCAUCCAAAACAAAUGGCAAGCGUGCAUCCAUGGGAUAGGAAAGCAAAUGCCGGGUGGCUCUUGAUCACUACGUGUUAACUGAUAAACAAAAGAUCCAGGAUGAUGAUAUGUUAAAUCUGGAUGCCAAGCUCAACCUAAUUGCAGCAGUUCAUUCAGUUCAUCAAACUGCAGACUACUUUAGUCGUGUUCAUUCAGUUCCAUCAACCACCUGAUGAUAUUUGUAUAGCAAAACCGUAGAAGCCAAAGGAAGACAUGCAAGAGCCAAGACUGACCCCAAAAAAUUUAAAGACAGCAGCAGUAUUGGCAACUAUCACUGGCAUUAGUUCCAUCACAAAUCAUUCUAUAAUCAACUAGGAUUGGUCUGAAUUAAAAGAUAUCAUGUCAUAGCUUGACACCCUGCUUCUUAGACAACACUCCAUUAGUCAGCACAAACAAAUGACACUUGAAGCCCACCUCCUUGAGGGGAGGUUGACGAACUGUUGCAUAAAGAUCAGGGCUCAUCCAACUGAUCCUG
rnacentral:lncRNA from 1 species